GACAUCACAUACAGGAACAGGAUAAGUGACAUCAAACACCCCUCCUCCUUGCCCUAUUGUUCUCUUUUCUGCUGCUCUCUUCAAAAUUACGGACACUUCAAAGCCACAGUCAUACGCACAACGAUGAACCAAGGGCUGAUAAAAACUUUCCUUUUCUGCAGACUCAGUUGGAUCUCUGUCUCAGGUUCUGAGUCUCAGACUGUGGAGGUCCAGUCUGGUGAUGAUGUCACACUGAUGUGCUCCGGCAUGGACACAUAUGUUUCAGUCAGAUAUUGGCUGAAAGUUGUCAAAGGAGCCGACAUCCAGUGUGUCUCUACUAUGACCAGUCAUAUCAGUGAAGUGACAUAUCGUGAUGGAUACAGUAAUCAUAAAUUCACUAUGUGGUACAACACCUCUACUAUCUUUCUCAAAGUCCGUUCAGUGGAAUUAAACGACUCUGGAAUUUAUUACUGUGGAUUUAACAAACAUGGAUGUCCAUUUCUUACUACGAUACAUCUAAAGAUCAACGGCAGCAGUGACGCUCAUAACAGCAUGAACAGCAACUCUACAAGUACGAUUUUUAUUAUUAUUUAAAUAAUUCACAGACUUCUUAUAGCUUUGAAUAGCUUAGAAGCUUAAAUAAUUUAGUUUGAUCCUGUCAGGUUUUAAAGUCUCCAAAAGGAAAAUGUAUUCUGACACAAUGAUCUUUCUUUGUAGAAGAGUGUGAUGGAGCAGCGACUCUGGUGAGUGUUGUCCUGCGUGGUUUGACUCUUUUACUUGUGAUGGUCGUCAUCGGUCUGGUUGUUAAAGACAGGACAUUUCAGACAGCUGCUGAAGAAAGACAGAAUCCAGGACACCGUGAGAAUGAGACCUCUGAUGAUCUGAACUACGAAGAAGUUAUAGAGUUAACCUGAAGAAGUAAGAAGAGAGCCGGAGCCAAAUGUUAUUCAUGUUGCUUCCAGAUAGAGUAAAGAGGAGGCUGGACAUGAUCUUGUAUCAUACAUUAUUACAAUGCUUUGAGCUUUUGCAUGGCUUGUUGGUGAGAGUUAGUUGAAUCUUCAUCUUAAUAUUGCUUUUACUUACUAUUUACUUUUGCUGAAUCAACACUGUCUGUGGCUCCCUGCAUCUCUUUUGUGAUGUGUUUUAGAAAUCCCUACAUGUCAUCAUGUGAUGCUUUAGGUAGAUUUUUUAAAAUGAUUUGUUUUGAUGUGCUGUCCUGAAUUUGUUUUUUUUUAUUUUUGUCACUUAUGUUGUGUUUGUAUGUUCUCACUGCAAGACAAAUUCCCCUAGGGGCAACAAAGGUUUCAUUCAUUCAUUAAAAGAUCGAGUUAUGUGAUGAGUUGCCAUCGUUGUUUGUCCCCUUGUAUCCCAAAAUCUUCAUCAGCAAUGGUCUGUCCCUGUGACUUUUAAAUUAUUAUAAUGAGUUCAGUAAAAGGAACAUUGUCUGCAGCACUUCUGUCUGCACAAGUAGAUAAGUGAAUGAGGAUCACAUCACUUGUUAAGACAGGAAGAGAGCACAGUGUGGUCUGAGGUGGCAAAAACCACGAGGCCUGUGGACCCCAACCUCUUUGAGAAUAAAGUGUGAAA